rnacentral:lncRNA from 1 species
GUGCCUUUCAAGGAAUUUGUCCAUUCCAUCUAAAUGUUGAAUUUAUUGGUAUAAAGUUAUUGACAGUAUUCCCUUGAUAUCCUUUUAAUGGCUACAAAAGCCAUAGUCACUUGUCCUCUUUUGUUCUUAAUAUUGUUAAUUUAUAUCUUCUCUUUUGUUCAUUGCUUUAGUUAGGGGUUUGUAAUUUUUAUUGAUCAUUUAAAGGAGCAACUUUUGGUUUUACUAAUUUUCUCUAUUUGCUUAUUUUCUAUCGCAUUGAUUUCUGCAGUUAUCUUUAUUUCUUUCCUUCUACUUUGAGUUUGCUUUUCUUCUAGCUUUUUUAAGGUAGAAGUUUAUAUUAGUAAUUUUAGAACUUUUCUCUCUCCAAGCACUGUUUUAGCUGCAUUUCACAAGUUUUGAUGUGUUUUCAUGAACGCGUAGUUCAAAAUAGUGUCAGAUUUCCCUUGUAAUUUAAUUUUGAUCUAUGACUUUUCUAGAAAUGUGUUAAUUUUCAAACAUUUGGGGGAGUUUUCAGUUAUCUUUUGGCUAUCGAUUUUUUAAAUUUAUUGUGGUUAGAGAAUUUGCUCUGUAUUUUCAAUCCUAAAUGUUUUAUGGCCCAAAAUUAUGGUUUAUCUUGGUAAAUGAUCCUUGUAUAUUUGAAAAUAAUGUACAUUCUGCUAUUUUGGGGAAUAUUACUCUAUAAAUGAUAGGUCAAAUCGGUUGACAGUUUUUUUCAAGUCUUCUGUAUACUUGCUGAUUUUUUUUUUUUUUGGUCUUUGUCCUAUCAACAAGUGAGAGAUGAUUGUUGAAAUCUCCAAAUAUAAUUAUAGUUUUUUGUUUCUCUUUUUAGUUCUGUCAGGUUUGCUUCAUGUAUUUUGAAGCUGUAUAAUUAUAUGCAAAUAUGCUAAGGAUUAUUAUGUAUUUUUAAUGACAUAAUUCUUUCAUCAUUAUGAAAUCUCCAUCUUUAUCGCUGAUAAUAUUCCUUGUCCUAAAGUUCAAAGAGCAUUGAGGUGUGUUUUGGCAGGCAGUUGAGUUACUAUUGGGUCGACUUGAUCCUUUGGAAUCUUGUUUGUUUUUAAUGUUUGUUAGGGUGGGUGUAAAGUUGUCUUUAUUUAAGGACGGUGGUUGUCAACUUUCAGUCUCAUGACCCCCUGAAACUCUAAAAACUUAUUGAGGACUCCGAAGAAUUCUUGCUUAUGUGGAUUGUAUUAAUGCUUACCAUAUCAGAAAUUAAAACUGAGAAAUAAGUAAAACAAUAUUUACUUAUUAGUUCCUUUUCAAAUGACAAUAAUAAACCCAUUUCAUGUUCAGCUCUCUCUUAACUAUGUUCUUUC